ensembl:lncRNA
GGUAGAGUGGAGCCUAGUGGUUAGAGUGGAGGGGCGGCAGGGUAGCCUAGUGGUUAGAGUGGAGGGGCGGCAGGGUAGCCUAGUGGUUAGAGUGGAGGGGCGGCAGGGUAGCCUAGUGGUUAGAGUGGAGGGGCGGCAGGGUAGCCUAGUGGUUAGAGUGGAGGGGCGGCAGGGUGGCCUAGUGGUUAGAGUGGUGGGGCGGCAGGGUGGCCUAGUGGUUAGAGUGGAGGGGCGGCAGGGUGGCCUAGUGGUUAGAGCGGAGGGGCGGCAGGGUGGCCUAGUGGUUAGAGCGGAGGGGCGGCAGGGUGGCCUAGUGGUUAGAGCGGAGGGGCGGCAGGGUGGCCUAGUGGUUAGAGCGGAGGGGCGGCAGGGUGGCCUAGUGGUUAGAGCGGAGGGGCGGCAGGGUGGCCUAGUGGUUAGAGCGGAGGGGCGGCAGGGUGGCCUAGUGGUUAGAGGGGCGGCGGGUGGGGGCGGCAGGGUGGCCUAGUGGUUAGAGCGGAGGGGCGGCAGGGUAGCCUAGUGGUUAGAGUGAAGGGGCGGCAGGGUAGCCUAGUGGUUAGAGCGUUGGACUAGUAACCGGAAGGUUGCAAGUUCAAACCCCCGAGCUGACAAGGUACAAAUCUGUUGUUCUGCCCCCUGAACAGGCAGUUAACCCACUGUUCCUAGGCUGUCAUUGUAAAUAAGAAUUUGUUCUUAACUGACUUGCCUAGUUAAAUAAAGGUUACAAUUAUUAUUAUUUUGAAUACGACGUCAGUGUUAAAGUUGUUUCUGUUACAUUGUGUAUGGGUUCGUAAGGCAUUAUUGUUAAAUUAUAUAUAUGUGUUGCCCAACUCUGGUCCUCGAGUUACUCCAGCAGAACAUGUUUUUUUUUUUUGUCGUAGCCCCAGACAAAAACCACCUGAUUCAACUUGUCAAGGGUUAGUUGACAGGUGGGCUUGUCCGGGUCCACAACGGAAAAAUAUGUACUAUUGAGCGUACUCAAGGACCGGAGUUGGACAACGCUGUGAUAUAUGAUGGAAGAUUUAAUGCAUGUUGAGGUAGCAUAGGUCUUACACUGCCACUACUACUUGCAACAGUCCCUCUAGUCUAACGAAAACCCGUCUCAGAGUUAGACCGGUGUUUUAUCGUUACGAAGUGAACAGUGCUACUGUGUAGAAACCGUAAUGCUGUCAACUUAAAUUGAGCACCAGAGUCUUUUUAAUUCCACUUAAGGAACUGAAUACCUAGACCGCUAUAUCAGGACAGGGAACUUAAAGUACACUUCCUGUAUUCAAUCAACAACUCUGUAAAUACUGGGCUACACGAGUAAACAAAGCCAUUGUUUGUAUGAGCCUGAUCCCAGAUCUGUUUGUUCUGUUUGGCUAAUUCCUAUUGUUUAUCUAUGGUGCUAAACAUAAGUGUUUUCAAGAUGGGACUAACAAGUCUAGGAUCAGGUUAGGACACGGCCAGGGGAUAUUCUGAUGCUGAGAAGGACAAUGACAAACCAUUCCAUACAGUUCGCUAAACUGAGUAAAAAAUAAAUUUAAAAAAGUUAUUACUGUAUCUAUUUUCGACAUUUAUGGAGAGAGUUAAUAUACGAUAGUAAGCAUCCAUGCACUAAGCUGAAAUCUGUGUGUUGUUUAUGGUAUACACCAGAGAGAUUCAUUUUUUUUCUUUUUACUUCUAAAACAUAAGAUAAGAUGAGACCCUACUUGAAAUGCUGUGCUUGUCUGUGAGCUGAGCAGAUGACUUUACCAUUCAACGGCUGUCUGUUUGUUCUUAAAGCACUUGGACCAAAACUAGUCUCUCUUGGCAGACUCGUACAGUGGGAAAGAGACCAAAACUAGUCUCUCUUGGCAGACUCGUACAGUGGCUGUGGGAAAGAGACCAAAACUAUUUCCCCUGGAACCAUUCAAACGUGUUGAAUAGUUACUGACUGUUGUUCAGUGUAAAGUCAUGUUGCUGUGCUGUUCUGUUCUCUUAGUGUAGUCUUUUUAAACCGUUUUUGCAAUGGUUUAUGGGUGAUUCCUGAUUGAUUUAUUUUGUUUUAUUAUUUCUUUUGCAACUUGUGUUUUGUUGGUCAAAUUACGGAGAAGAAAAAAAAAGCAAAGUUUUAAAAAAUGUGAAUAUUUUGAUGACAGAUCUAGUAAACAGGAAGACUGUUGCCAUGUGUCGUUGGCCUAUGGAACAGCUGUGCCCUGAGGUACUAGGAUAGGAUGUACUCUCUUCUGGCCAGCCAUGUGGGUCAGAUGACAGGCCUGGGUAGGGUUGACUGAGACCACAAACACCACGGGUCUAUUAAGCUAAGUAGGAUUCAACCAUUUGUGAUGCUGCAUGUGUCACACAUAGACCUGACAUGAUUCCCUCUUCCACUCAGCAGAGGAGAAUGUCUGCACAGGGCACAUUUCUCUCUGAAUGUUCUGCAAUGCAGUCUCCUGGAUAAGUGAUAACUUCUGAGUUCAGGGGUGUUUUCUUCUACUGGAGUUUGGCAUCCCGAGUGGCACACUGGUCUAAGACACUGUAUCUCAGUGCAAGAGGUGUCACUUGCAGUACCUGGUUUGAAUCCAGGCUGCAUCACAUCUGGCUGUGAUUGGGAGUCUUGAUAGAAAGGUGCAUAAUUGGGCCAGCGUGGUCUGGGGUAGGCCGUCAUUGUAAAUAAGAAUUUGUUCUUAACUGACUUGCCUAGUUAAAAAAAUAAAAGUCUAUUCCCUGAUGUGCACAUGGUAGCCUGCCUAUGACAGUGAGAUGGACUCUAAUAUCAAGUCCCUCUGUCCACUAUGACCAACUACAUGCCCCAGACUCCCUUUGGAUGGAUAAAUCUCAAACCGACCAACCCAGAGACAAAUAUUCAGAAACCCUCUACAAACUAUUUUAAACACAUGGCUCUGAACCAACUCCCCCUCUCUCUUCUCUCUCUCUCUCCCCCAUCUCCCACUCUCUCUCUCUCGCUCUUUCUCUCUCUCUCCCCCUAUCUCUCUCUUUCUCUCUCUCUCUCUCUCUCUCUUUCUCUCUCCCCCCUCUCUCUCUCUCUCUCUUUCUUUCUCUCUCUCUCUCCCCCCUCUCCCUCUCUCUCUCCCUCUCUCUCUUUCUCUCUCGCUCUUUCUCUCUCCCCCUCUCUCUCUCUCUCUCUCUCCCUCUCUCUCUUUCUCUCUCGCUCUUUCUCUCCCCCACUCUUUCUCUCUCGCUCUUUCUCUCUCCCCCUCUCUCUCUCUCUCUCUUUCUCCCCCUCUCCCUCUCUCUCUCUCGCUCUUUCUCUCUCCCCCCUCUUUCUCUCUCUCUUUCUCUCUCCCCUCUCUCUUUCUCUCUCUCCCCCUCUCUCUCUCUCUUUCUUUAUCUCUCUCUCUCUCCCCCCCUCUCUCUCUCCAGCCCAUAGGAAUAGAAUUACUGUACUAUUCUAAUUCUAGUAAUUCCCCUGCUAUACCCAGGCCACUGAUUAUGAUUAGUGGUAGUCAUGCGUUAGGAAAAACAGUGAUCUGCAAUGUUCUGGACGAUGAGCCACUUACUUCCAGAGAUCAACUGGCGAAAAAGCUGGUUUAUCCUCUAACUCUCUACCCUCUGAACGAUGCCCCUGGCUUGCUCCACCACGUGAUCACAUUCACCACAGCAGCACUGGAGAGACGGGAAAGAGAGAGAGGGAGACAGAGAGUAGCACUGAAUAGAGGGGGGGAGUGGGAAGAGCGAGUGGGAGGGAGAGAGAGAGAGAGGGGAGAGACAGAGAUCAGCGCUGGAUAGAGAGAGAACAGAGUGCUCCAAGUGAAAGUAACGGAAUAGAUGUUCACUGCUCCUCUCUUUCCUUAAUCCCCAUGUUUAUGGGUUCAGCCCUCUCUGUAUGUAACCCCUCCCCCACUGUGUUAUCGCUGUGUAUCAUCACUGUGGCAUUUAGUUUAUUUAAUACCUUGCUCCUGCCCGUCCCUGCCUGACUGGCUGUAAAUAUGGUAACUGGCACACUGACCAAACUGCAGCUAAAGCCACUUCUUGAAAUUGUCUGUGUCCCUAUUCUUUAUUUAGUGCACUGCUUUUUACCAGAGCACACUAUUCCCUAUUUAGUGCACUGCUUUUUACCAGAGCCCUCUGGCACCCUAUUCCCUAUUUAGUGUCCUGCAUUUUACCAGAGCCCUCUGGCACCCUAUUCCCUAUUUAGUGUCCUGCAUUUUACCAGAGCCCUCUGGCACCCUAUUCCCUAUUUAGUGUCCUGCAUUUUACCAGAGCCCUAUGGGAUUGCAAACAUGGUGACUGGCCCACUGUCGAGGCUUCAGCAACUUCCUGAAAUUGUACUUCUGUUUCCAUGUUGCAUUAUUGUCCUGGGAGGAAUUACAUUUCAGGAAGUUAUCUUUAAAAAAAAAAAAGUAUUACUUUCAUAACGUGGUUUUACCCGAGUGACUUUUUCAUUACCGCCCCUGCUAUUGACAUACAGCAGUUUUGUCGGUUUGUGUGUAUGUCUCCUGUUGUGUUAGUGUGCCACUACCCAACCACUGUAACAUGGCGUUAUUGUGCUGUUAAUAAACACUUCGUUUACUGCUUUAAUGACCACCGUCUGUUCUGUUCUUCAUUUGUAUUUACUGUUUCGUUUUUUUUGUUGCUGCCAUUUGAUAAAAUCAAUAAACCACUCCUGAUUUACUGUA